CGUAAUGAAUAUUUAAUACGAUUUUUUCAAAGCCAACCAAACUCGGCGAGUUUAGACAACAUCUGUCUCAUGAAUUCCUUCAUAAAGUCGUCCAUCUUUUCAAUUAACUAAGCUAACUUCGCCAAACCAUCAGACAUGAUGUCGCUACUAGUCCUACUACUCCUAUUACCAUGGCAACGGGUCCAGGGGGAAAACGCGCAAUGCAGCGUAGAAACGUAUUCUCAGCAUGGAAAAGUUCUGUCCAAUUACAUGAUCAAAUCUUUGACCAUAAGCGAUGGUUUUAUUGGGUGCUUAAGUGAGUGUCUCGCGACGGAUGGUUGUAAGAGCAUGAAUAUGUUGUUUGAYUGUAACGARUGUCAAUUAAACAACGUGACGCACUGCUCKUCUCCUGGUGCCAUGGAGAYCAAUGUCAACGCUGAAUACUCGAUUAACUUUAAGUAUUUGAGUGAAUGCUGUCUUUAAAGGAAGAUSAACUCUCAAACAGCGUCUGUAUUCUUUCCUCUGUAUUUUGCACACUUAAUUGAUAAAAAGAUCCUCCGACCGCAAUAAAUUGACAUAUAAUCCACCAAUCUUUUUACAAUUAGUAAGAUAAAUAAAGUAAGUAAAUUAACUUGGACGUGAGGGUUUUGAGGUCUUURUGGUUCAGUCAUUAUGAUUGGGUGCUGUCAGUCAAUUGAUAAGCGCAGCGAUUACCUCUCACAUCAUACACUAAGUCACGGUUAGUCAUAAAAGGUUAUAGAUUCAAAUAAUAUCGAUUGAUUUAAAGUGAAUUUACAGCACGAAUAGGAAUCGAUUUCCAUAUCCAUUCUCGAUAAUAUAUCGAUAUAAUAUUGUUUAGAUAUUCUCUACCARUAAACAAAGCUGUUGUAAGCAAAAUUAUUCAAUUGUAGUGUGUCUGUAGGAUUACUGGCUCAAUGAACCAUUUUACCCGAUACUAUACCUUUAGAAAAACUAACAGUG